AAUGCCGGAUGCUCCGACUCCUCGCAUGGGGUGUCGGGAAAGAUUUCAUCGGUAUGGGAUGGGGUCGCGUCCUAUCAGGUAGUCGGCGGGGUAACGGCCCACCGAGCCUACGACGGGUAGCCGGCCUGAGAGGGCGACCGGCCACAUUGGGACUGAGAUACGGCCCAGACUCCUACGGGAGGCAGCAGUGGGGAAUAUUGCACAAUGGGCGCAAGCCUGAUGCAGCGACGCCGCGUGCGGGAUGACGGCCUUCGGGUUGUAAACCGCUUUUGAUCGGGAGCAAGCCUUCGGGUGAGUGUACCUUUCGAAUAAGCACCGGCUAACUACGUGCCAGCAGCCGCGGUAAUACGUAGGGUGCAAGCGUUAUCCGGAAUUAUUGGGCGUAAAGGGCUCGUAGGCGGUUCGUCGCGUCCGGUGUGAAAGUCCAUCGCUUAACGGUGGAUCUGCGCCGGGUACGGGCGGGCUGGAGUGCGGUAGGGGAGACUGGAAUUCCCGGUGUAACGGUGGAAUGUGUAGAUAU
rnacentral:rRNA from 1 species